rnacentral:rRNA from 1 species
UAGUUUCAAGUCAUGCAGAUCCAUUUUCUGCCACCGAAUACAUUAGCAUGGGAUAAUGGAAUAGGACCCUGUCCUCCUAUUUUCAGUUGGUUUUGGCAGCGCGAGGACUAGGGUAAUGAUUAAUAGGGAUAGUUGGGGGCAUUAAUAUUUAAUUGUCAGAGGUGAAAUUCUUGGAUUUAUGAAAGAUUAACUUCUGCGAAAGCAUCUGCCAAGGAUGUUUUCAUUAAUCAAGAACGAAAGUUAGGGGAUCGAAGACGAUCAGAUACCGUCGUAGUCUUAACCAUAAACGAUGCCGACCAGCGAUUAGGAGACGUUGAAUACAAAACACCACCAUCGGUUGCGCGGUCAUCCUUGGCGUCUCGGUUUCGGCCGGGGCGCGGGGAUGGCUUAGCCCGGUGGCACCGGUGAAUGACUCCCCUAGCAGCUUGUGAGAGAA